GACGAACGCUGGCGGCGUGCCUAAUACAUGCAAGUCGAACGCUGAAGGAGGAGCUUGCUUCUCUGGAUGAGUUGCGAACGGGUGAGUAACGCGUAGGUAACCUGCCUGGUAGCGGGGGAUAACUAUUGGAAACGAUAGCUAAUACCGCAUAAGAGUAGAUGUCGCAUGACAUUUGCUUAAAAGGUGCAAUUGCAUCACUACCAGAUGGACCUGCGUUGUAUUAGCUAGUUUGUGAGGUAACGGCUCACCAAGGCCACGAUACAUAGCCGACCUGAGAAGGUGAUCGGCCACACUGGGACUGAGACACGGCCCAGACUCCUACGGGAGGCAGCAGUAGGGGAUCUUCGGCAAUGGACGGAAGGCUGACCGGGCAACGCCGGGUGAGUGAAGAAGGGUUUCGGAUCGUAAAGCUCUGUUUUAAGAGAAGAACGAGUGUGAGAGUGGAAAGUUCACACUGUGACGGUAUCUUACCAGAAAGGGACGGCUAACUACGUG
rnacentral:rRNA from 1 species